rnacentral:rRNA from 1 species
ACGGGUGAGUAAUACAUCGGAACGUGCCCAGUAGUGGGAGAUAGCUCGGCGAAAGCCGGAUUAAUACCGCAUACGACCUACGGGUGAAAGCGGGGGACCGCAAGGCCUCGCGCUAUCGGAGCGGCCGAUGUCAGAUUAGCUAGUUGGUGGGGUAAAGGCCUACCAAGGCAACGAUCUGUAGCUGGUCUGAGAGGACGACCAGCCACACUGGGACUGAGACACGGCCCAGACUCCUACGGGAGGCAGCAGUGGGGAAUUUUGGACAAUGGGGGCAACCCUGAUCCAGCCAUGCCGCGUGCGGGAAGAAGGCCUUCGGGUUGUAAACCGCUUUUGUCAGGGAAGAAACGCGCUGAGUUAAUACCUCGGCGUAAUGACGGUACCUGAAGAAUAAGCACCGGCUAACUACGUGCCAGCAGCCGCGGUAAUACGUAGGGUGCAAGCGUUAAUCGGAAUUACUGGGCGUAAAGCGUGCGCAGGCGGCUUUGCAAGACAGAUGUGAAAUCCCCGGGCUUAACCUGGGAACCGCAUUUGUGACUGCAUGGCUAGAGUGCGGCAGAGGGGGAUGGAAUUCCGCGUGUAGCAGUG